GGGGAAGUAGCUUAGCUGGUUAAAGCGCCAGCCUGUCACGCUGGAGAUCACGGGUUCAAAUCCCGCCUUUCUCG
rnacentral:tRNA from 1 species